AGAGUUUGAUCCUGGCUCAGAUUGAACGCUGGCGGCAGGCCUAACACAUGCAAGUCGAGCGGAUGAUGGGAGCUUGCUCCCGGAUUCAGCGGCGGACGGGUGGGUAAUGCCUAGGAAUCUGCCUGGUAGUGGGGGACAACGUUUCGAAAGGAACGCUAAUACCGCAUACGUCCUACGGGAGAAAGCAGGGGACCUUCGGGCCUUGCGCUAUCAGAUGAGCCUAGGUCGGAUUAGCUAGUUGGUGGGGUAAAGGCCUACCAAGGCGACGAUCCGUAACUGGUCUGAGAGGAUGAUCAGUCACACUGGAACUGAGACACGGUCCAGACUCCUACGGGAGGCAGCAGUGGGGAAUAUUGGACAAUGGGCGAAAGCCUGAUCCAGCCAUGCCGCGUGUGUGAAGAAGGUCUUCGGAUUGUAAAGCACUUUAAGUUGGGAGGAAGGGCAGUAAGUUAAUACCUUGCUGUUUUGACGUUACCAACAGAAUAAGCACCGGCUAACUUCGUGCCAGCAGCCGCGGUAAUACGAAGGGUGCAAGCGUUAAUCGGAAUUACUGGGCGUAAAGCGCGCGUAGGUGGUU
rnacentral:rRNA from 1 species